rnacentral:rRNA from 1 species
GACGAACGCUGGCGGCGUGCCUAAUACAUGCAAGUAGAACGCACAGUUUAUACCGUAGCUUGCUACACCAUAGACUGUGAGUUGCGAACGGGUGAGUAACGCGUAGGUAACCUGCCUGGUAGCGGGGGAUAACUAUUGGAAACGAUAGCUAAUACCGCAUAAUAUUGAUUAUUGCAUGAUAAUUGAUUGAAAGAUGCUAUUGCAUCACUACCAGAUGGACCUGCGUUGUAUUAGCUAGUAGGUGAGGUAACGGCUCACCUAGGCGACGAUACAUAGCCGACCUGAGAGGGUGAUCGGCCACACUGGGACUGAGACACGGCCCAGACUCCUACGGGAGGCAGCAGUAGGGAAUCUUCGGCAAUGGACGAAAGUCUGACCGAGCAACGCCGCGUGAGUGAAGAAGGGUGUCGGAUCGUAAAGCUCUGUUGUAAGAGAAGAACGGGUGUGAGAGUGGAAAGUUCACACUGUGACGGUAUCUUACCAGAAAGGGACGGCUAACUACGUG